rnacentral:lncRNA from 1 species
UUAAAUCAGAUAAUAAAAAAAAUUUAAUAUCAUUUAGAGAUCUAUUAAUCUCAAUAAUUCAAAUUGGUAGAAGUGAUUUCAUAAUUAAUUUUUAUACUAUUAUCAUAAAGCCUGUACCAAAAGUCUAUUUUCUACCAUAUGAAUCAACAAAAACCAAAGCUAUUUCUACCCCAAAAAAAAAACAAAAAAAACAACUACUUGACAUGUCUAUGAGACAUAAGAAAAUUUAUUUACUACCUCCUAAUAAUUAAUUUAUUUUAGUU